AAGUCGGUCGUUCAGUGGUAGAAUACUCGCCUGCCACGCGGGUGGCCCGGGUUCGAUUCCCGGUCGACGCA
rnacentral:tRNA from 1 species